rnacentral:rRNA from 1 species
CACGUAGUUAGCCGGUGCUUAUUCUUCAGGUACCGUCAUUAGCGCUCUGUAUUAGAAAGCGCCGUUUCUUCCCUGACAAAAGAGCUUUACAACCCGAAGGCCUUCUUCACUCACGCGGCAUUGCUGGAUCAGGCUUGCGCCCAUUGUCCAAAAUUCCCCACUGCUGCCUCCCGUAGGAGUUUGGACCGUGUCUCAGUUCCAGUGUGGCUGGUCGUCCUCUCAGACCAGCUACUGAUCGAUGCCUUGGUAGGCUUUUACCCACCAACUAGCUAAUCAGAUAUCGGCCGCUCCACGAGCAUGAGGCCGCCAAGGCCGGGCCCCCAUUUCAUCCGUAGAUCGUAUGCGGUAUUAGCGUAACUUUCGCUACGUUAUCCCCCAUCCAGGUACGUUCCGAUAUAUUACUCACCCGUUCGCCACUCGCCGCCAGGUUUCCCCGCGCUGCCGUUCGACUUGCUAGUGUGUAAGGCAUCGCCGCAGUCCGUUCAA